GGUUAAGCGACUAAGCGUACACGGUGGAUGCCCUGGCAGUCAGAGGCGAUGAAGGACGUGCUAAUCUGCGAAAAGCGUCGGUAAGGUGAUAUGAACCGUUAUAACCGGCGAUGUCCGAAUGGGGAAACCCAGUGCAAUUCGUUGCACUAUCGUUAACUGAAUACAUAGGUUAACGAGGCGAACCGGGGGAACUGAAACAUCUAAGUACCCCGAGGAAAAGAAAUCAACCGAGAUUCCCCCAGUAGCGGCGAGCGAACGGGGAGCAGCCCAGAGUCUGAAUCAGCUUGUGUGUUAGUGGAACGGUCUGGAAAGUCCGACGGUACAGGGUGAUAGUCCCGUACACCAAAAUGCACAGGUUGUGAACUCGAAGAGUAGGGCGGGACACGUGGUAUCCUGUCUGAAUAUGGGGGGACCAUCCUCCAAGGCUAAAUACUCCUGACUGACCGAUAGUGAACCAGUACCGUGAGGGAAAGGCGAAAAGAACCCCGGCGAGGGGAGUGAAAAAGAACCUGAAACCGUGUACGUACAAGCAGUGGGAGCACCUUAGGGUGUGACUGCGUACCUUUUGUAUAAUGGGUCAGCGACUUAUAUUCUGUAGCAAGGUUAACCGUAUAGGGGAGCCGCAGGGAAACCGAGUCUUAACUGGGCGUUAAGUUGCAGGGUAUAGACCCGAAACCCGGUGAUCUAGCCAUGGGCAGGUUGAAGGUUGGGUAACACUAACUGGAGGACCGAACCGACUAAUGUUGAAAAAUUAGCGGAUGACUUGUGGCUGGGGGUGAAAGGCCAAUCAAACCGGGAGAUAGCUGGUUCUCCCCGAAAGCUAUUUAGGUAGCGCCUCGUGAAUUCAUCUUCGGGGGUAGAGCACUGUUUCGGCUAGGGGGUCAUCCCGACUUACCAACCCGAUGCAAACUACGAAUACCGAAGAAUGUUAUCACGGGAGACACACGGCGGGUGCUAACGUCCGUCGUGAAGAGGGAAACAACCCAGACCGCCAGCUAAGGUCCCAAAGUCAUGGUUAAGUGGGAAACGAUGUGGGAAGGCACAGACAGCCAGGAUGUUGGCUUAGAAGCAGCCAUCAUUUAAAGAAAGCGUAAUAGCUCACUGGUCGAGUCGGCCUGCGCGGAAGAUGUAACGGGGCUAAACCAUGCACCGAAGCUGCGGCAGCGACACUAUGUGUUGUUGGGUAGGGGAGCGUUCUGUAAGCCUGCGAAGGUGUGCUGUGAGGCAUGCUGGAGGUAUCAGAAGUGCGAAUGCUGACAUAAGUAACGAUAAAGCGGGUGAAAAGCCCGCUCGCCGGAAGACCAAGGGUUCCUGUCCAACGUUAAUCGGGGCAGGGUGAGUCGACCCCUAAGGCGAGGCCGAAAGGCGUAGUCGAUGGGAAACAGGUUAAUAUUCCUGUACUUGGUGUUACUGCGAAGGGGGGACGGAGAAGGCUAUGUUAGCCGGGCGACGGUUGUCCCGGUUUAAGCAUGUAGGCUGGUUGUCCAGGCAAAUCCGGAUAAUCAAGGCUGAGGUGUGAUGACGAGGCACUACGGUGCUGAAGUAACAAAUGCCCUGCUUCCAGGAAAAGCCUCUAAGCAUCAGGUAACAUCAAAUCGUACCCCAAACCGACACAGGUGGUCAGGUAGAGAAUACCAAGGCGCUUGAGAGAACUCGGGUGAAGGAACUAGGCAAAAUGGUGCCGUAACUUCGGGAGAAGGCACGCUGGUGUGUAGGUGAAGUCCCUGCGGAUGGAGCUGAGACCAGUCGAAGAUACCAGCUGGCUGCAACUGUUUAUUAAAAACACAGCACUGUGCAAACACGAAAGUGGACGUAUACGGUGUGACGCCUGCCCGGUGCCGGAAGGUUAAUUGAUGGGGUUAUCCGUAAGGAGAAGCUCUUGAUCGAAGCCCCGGUAAACGGCGGCCGUAACUAUAACGGUCCUAAGGUAGCGAAAUUCCUUGUCGGGUAAGUUCCGACCUGCACGAAUGGCGUAAUGAUGGCCAGGCUGUCUCCACCCGAGACUCAGUGAAAUUGAACUCGCUGUGAAGAUGCAGUGUACCCGCGGCAAGACGGAAAGACCCCGUGAACCUUUACUAUAGCUUGACACUGAACAUUGAGCCUUGAUGUGUAGGAUAGGUGGGAGGCUUUGAAGCGUGGACGCCAGUCUGCGUGGAGCCAACCUUGAAAUACCACCCUUUAAUGUUUGAUGUUCUAACGUUGGCCCCUUACCGGGGUUGCGGACAGUGUCUGGUGGGUAGUUUGACUGGGGCGGUCUCCUCCCAAAGCGUAACGGAGGAGCACGAAGGUUAGCUAAUCCUGGUCGGACAUCAGGAGGUUAGUGCAAUGGCAUAAGCUAGCUUGACUGCGAGCGUGACGGCGCGAGCAGGUGCGAAAGCAGGUCAUAGUGAUCCGGUGGUUCUGAAUGGAAGGGCCAUCGCUCAACGGAUAAAAGGUACUCCGGGGAUAACAGGCUGAUACCGCCCAAGAGUUCAUAUCGACGGCGGUGUUUGGCACCUCGAUGUCGGCUCAUCACAUCCUGGGGCUGAAGUAGGUCCCAAGGGUAUGGCUGUUCGCCAUUUAAAGUGGUACGCGAGCUGGGUUUAGAACGUCGUGAGACAGUUCGGUCCCUAUCUGCCGUGGGCGCUGGAGAAUUGAGGGGGGCUGCUCCUAGUACGAGAGGACCGGAGUGGACGCAUCACUGGUGUUCGGGUUGUCAUGCCAAUGGCACUGCCCGGUAGCUAAAUGCGGAAGAGAUAAGUGCUGAAAGCAUCUAAGCACGAAACUUGCCCCGAGAUGAGUUCUCCCUGAGACUUUAAGUCUCCUGAAGGAACGUUGAAGACGACGACGUUGAUAGGCCGGGUGUGUAAGCGCAGCGAUGCGUUGAGCUAACCGGUACUAAUGAACCGUGAGGCUUAACCUU
rnacentral:rRNA from 1 species